UAGGGAAUCUUCCACAAUGGACGAAAGUCUGAUGGAGCAACGCCGCGUGAGUGAAGAAGGUCUUCGGAUCGUAAAACUCUGUUGUUGGAGAAGAACGUAUUUGACAGUAACUGAUCAGGUAGUGACGGUAUCCAACCAGAAAGCCACGGCUAACUACGUGCCAG
rnacentral:rRNA from 1 species